rnacentral:misc_RNA from 1 species
AAGUCGUAACAAGGUUUCCGUAGGUGAACCUGCGGAAGGAUCAUUAAAGAGAAAAACAAUAGACACUGUGCACGAAAAAAUACAUUAUAAGAUUAUAGCUGAAGUAAAUAAAAUAAAAACAACUUUUAGCAACGGAUCUCUAGGUUCUC